CCUUAUCAUGUAGUCAUCUGCCUAGCUCUGGGUUAAACUCCAAGUCUACCAGCUAGUCCUGCUGCCUGAAACCACUGUCUCUUGAGCUGUCAACUUUCAGAUCUUGAAACGAAGUGUUUUUGUUAUGUAAUUAUUUAUUUGUUCUUAAUUGGAAGGUAGGAUGUUCAAAAUUAAAGGUGUCUUAAAAUAAUUUGCCCCUAAGUCUCAGUACCAACAGAUAAGGGUGUAUUCUUGUAUAUCCUGUAUAGAUAUAAUCAUGCAUUUAUUGUCGAGGAGAUGUUUUUAUGUGGGUUCAUUUAUCAACAGUAAUCCUUUUAGCAUCCUUCAAGGCCUAUAUUGCAUUUCCUAGUGUGAAUAAACGAUGUAAUAUAGUAGUCAAUCGUUCCCUUAGUGAUAUUCAAGUGCAUUCUCUCACUGCCUCUCCACAAUGCUGCUUAACACUGUUUAAUACCUUGCCUGGCUCCAUGCAUAGUAGCUCUCCCAGGGGGUGUGCUUUCAAUUCUGACAGCCAGAUGAGUGCGGCUGGCACCAUGCCAAGGUGCCACUUCUUUCUCCUGUUUUGUAACACCAACUGGAAAAAAAUCCUGUCUCAUUUGCUGUUUUAAUUUAUACAUCUGAUUCCGAGUUGAAUAAAAUUGUAUUUCUGGAA
rnacentral:lncRNA from 1 species